GAUGAAGGAACGCAGCGAAAUGCGAUAAGUAAUGUGAAUUGCAGAAUUCAGUGAAUCAUCGAAUCUUUGAACGCACAUUGCGCCCGCGAGUAUUCUCGCGGGCAUGUCUGUCCGAGCGUCAUUUCAACCCUCAGGGCCCGCCUGCUUGCAGGUCGCGGCGCUGGUGUUGGGGAUCGGCUUCGUUGCCGUCCCCCAAAUACAGUGGCGGUCUCGCUGCAGCCUCCCCUGCGUAGUAGCAACACUCGCAUGCGGAGCGCGGCGCGGCCACGCCGUAAAACCCCCGACUUUCUGAACGUUGACCUCGGAUCAGGUAGGAAUACCCGCUGAACUUAAGCAUAUCAAUAAGCGGAGGA
rnacentral:misc_RNA from 1 species